CACAAGCGGAGGAACAUGUGGUUUAAUUCGAUGAUACGCGAGGAACCUUACCUGGGCUCGAACGUAAGAUGACUGUAGGUGAAAGCUUACAUCUCUUCGGAGCAUUUUACGAGGUGCUGCAUGGUUGUCGUCAGCUCGUGCCGUGAGGUGUCGGGUUAAGUCCCAUAACGAGCGCAACCCUACCUUUAGUUGCCAUCAGGUAAUGCUGGGGACUCUAAAGGAACUGCCUACGCAAGUAGUGAGGAAGGCGGGGAUGACGUCAAAUCAGCACGGCCCUUACGUCCAGGGCUACACACGUGCUACAAUGGCCGAUACAGAGGGCAGCUACCUGGUGACAGGAUGCAAAUCUCCAAAGUCGGUCUCAGUUCGGAUCGGAGUCUGCAACCCGACUCCGUGAAGUUGGAUUCGCUAGUAAUCGCGCAUCAGCCAUGGCGCGGUGAAUACGUUCCCGGGCCUU
rnacentral:rRNA from 1 species